rnacentral:lncRNA from 1 species
CUGAAAUAAAAUCUUCUUCUGGGAUCAGAUCUUCACUCUGCUCUGGUCCAGGUGAGUGACAUUUUGGAAUCCAGCUAGGGGGACACUGCUCCCCACACCUGCAAGUAUAGAGUUCAUUGCAAGCCGUAAUGAAACUGGGGUCACCACUCCACUCCAGUUUAAUUGCUUAAUUGAUAAAUAUUGCAUUAGUGGAAGAAAUCAAGGCCAAGCAGCCCCCAACCAAAGAAAGAGCUGAAAGGAGCAUGCGAGGGCAGUUGUGAUUAUUCAACGUUUCUUAAUCCUGGGCGAUUCGGCAGAAACCUGUGAAAGAGCCUGUCUUUGUGCCGGGGGCUAAUCAUGUUUUGGAAACCGCGAUCGGGCUAAUCUCCUGGCCUGCCUCUAAUGUCGAGCUGCUGAUAUCCUCAGCUGCGAUAAAUUAAGCUACUUAUUAAUCUAAUUACGGUACAUUCAUCCCCCAAACUUUCAUGUGACUUGAAAAGGCUGCCCCCCCCCACCCCCUCCCACCCAGACUGCAUGGCCCCAGCCGUCCCAAUUAACAGCAUUUUGGAUCCCAGCUCUAACGAGCCACAGGGCUUCAAUUAGCCUGCCCAACCGGAUAGCACCCUGACAGCCUCCCCUGCCUGCCUCCCUCGCUCUCCCUUUCUCUUCCCAUGCUCUUACUCCUUCUUUCCUUCUUUCGCUGCCUUGUCCUUCCUUCUCUUGCUUUCCCACUCCUCUGUUCCUUUUCCACCUCCCCUUCAUCUUCUCCCUCCUGGGCUCUCCCGCUGCUCCCCCAUCUCCUGAUUGUCUCCCUACCCUCCCUACUCACUCCUUCUUUCGCACUGAGCCAGGCCCGUCUUCUCUCUCUCUCUCUCUCCUCUGUUCCCGCUGUCCUCUUCGUCGUCCCGGGCCUCCCGAAGAAAGCGCUCGCUUCACACUCUGCUUGCCUGGCCGCCGGGCCGGAGGGCGAGAGAGAGAUGACAGGUUCAUUCCCUCAGCAGACACUGACCCUGAAGAGAGAUGAAAGAGGCUCAUGUCUUCACUUUAACAGAUUGCUCUCUCAAAGCCCCUUCUCCGUGAGAUAAAGAGGAAGGUAAUCGCCAUUGUCCGCCGCAGAUACACCGCUCCCCCCCUCCGCCCCAAAUUAAAGGGCCGCCCUGCCCUCUCG